rnacentral:lncRNA from 1 species
UCAGAAUACCCCCAUAAGCCUCACGGAACAUCCCCACAUGGUCAGGCGUAAUCAAUGCUAUCAUCUCUUUCAGUGCAUCAAUCUCUGGAUCAAAGAAACUGUAUACAACAUCAUUCUUCAAGCCGGGCCUCAUAUCUGGAACAAAGAAGUCUCCCAACCGAUAUCUCAAUCAAGAAUGUCCCCUGCAUAUGGAUAAAAAUGUGUUAGAUGUGGAUAAAUGCAAAAUGUGAAUGAUGCUGAUGCAUGAAUGCAAUGCACUGUGCCAUCCUCC